CCACCGCCUCCAAAAGUAAUAAUCUUAGAAUUUGGAGCUCGGCCUUCUCCCUAUGUAUGUGGCCGAAACGAGAGCUCUGAAGGCGUUGGUUUAUGGCGAAGGAGACCCACAUCGCCCGGUUCCAAACCAUCAAGAACGCCUGCGAUCGCCUCCGUUGUUGCAGCCAAAACGAGAGCUCUGAAGACGUCCGUUCAUGGCGAAGGCGAACCACAUCACCCAGUUCCAAACCAUCAAGAACGCCUGCGAUCGCCUCCGUUGUUGCAGGAUUAUUGACAAGGUCUUGCUCGAUUGCCGGCAGCCCUGGUGUUCGGCGUCGUCGGAGCAAGGAAAGAUGACAAAGAAGAAGAAGAAGUUGAGGGGGAGGCGGAAAUGGAUGGCGACGAAUCGACGCCGCCGCUGUUGCUUGCAACAUUGGGACCCCGAGCGCCAGCGCCCGGGGAUUGCUAUUGCUGUAAAAGCUGGACUAACUAAGACAGAUUUUGAUUCCACCGUCUGAAUUCACCCAACAUCUGCAGAGGAGCUUGUCACAAUGAGGAGCCCAACUCGGAAAAUCCGGAAGGAUCCAUCCCCAGCAAUGGAAAAGAAUGUUGAUGAGAUCAGGCCAGAUAGGAAUAAGUAACUUCUCCGAAUGAGGCAGUUGCACUGUUACUUUUAGCAGUUGGUGGUGGUGCCGUUGAUGUCUGAUGAAAAGAGCGAUGAGUAUUGUAAACAUGAGAGUGGAACAAAAAUCACAAUAUUACAAAAUCAUAAUGCUUUUGUAAUGUUUUCCUUUCAGAA